CGGUCCAGCCCGCAUGAAACAAUCUUCCUUCUUUAAACCGUCUUAUGGACGCUGCAAAACCCUAAACCCUAUGUAAUUUUCUAGCAUCAAUGGCUUCUCGCUACAAGUUUUUUGCUAGAGCAACCGUUUCUUCCAUCAAAUCUGCCACGAAAUCAAAGGCAUUUUCAGCUCCAAUCCAGAGUUCAUCAUCGCCACUAGGAGUUCCACGAACCAGUCACUCUUCUUCUUCGACGGUUUCUCGUCGCCGUCUCUUGAACUCAAGGAUACCUGCCCAAUUGGGUUGCACCAUGUCUAUGCUUCCUCUGCACAGUACUGUCUCUGCUGCCAGGCUCACGUCAUGCCUGAGCAUGGAUUCCAGGAGUUGCCGUGCUCUCUCUCAGGAUAUUUCAUUCCUGCAGGCACAUGAGUUCCAUUGCUUGAACGGAAUAAAUUGGGCUUUUACAGACCUGUGAUUAUUCUUCACAGCAUCAUUUUCAAGUAUGAAUGUUUCAGUAACGAUGAUACUGCCUGUCACUCUGUUGAUUGUAUGGCAGCGAUGGUACGUGAACUCGUUUUGCUUCAUGGCGUUUCUGCCACUGAGAAAUAGGUGUGCUCCGUGUAUGAUGCCUUGUACCACACUGAAACUCCCAACCAUACAUUAUUGCUUCACUUUCUUAAAGCUUUUCUCACCCGACAUCUUCAAUUUUUGCAAAACCCAGCUGGUCUUUAAUAGUAGGCUUGCAGAAAUAUCUAGUUCUCCCAAUGUUAUGGGUUCAUGAGACUUAGUCUUUAGUUCUGACUGGUUCUGGCACAAUAUUUAUAGUGGCUUAUUUCUACUUGAAAAUGGAAGUAACUUAUGUGAUAGGAGAACUGAAAUGGAGCAUUUUUUUGGCUUGUUAUACUUCA